rnacentral:rRNA from 1 species
CAGUCGCCGCGGGAAUACGGAGGGUGCAAGCGUUAAUCGGAAUUACUGGGCGUAAAGCGCACGCAGGCGGUCUGUCAAGUCAGAUGUGAAAUCCCCGGGCUUAACCUGGGAACUGCAUUUGAAACUGUCAGGCUGGAGUCUUGUAGAGGGGGGUAGAAUUCCAGGUGUAGCGGUGAAAUGCGUAGAGAUCUGGAGGAAUACCGGUGGCGAAGGCGGCCCCCUGGACAAAGACUGACGCUCAGGUGCGAAAGCGUGGGGAGCAAACAGGAUUAGAUACCCGAGUAGUCCCUGUCUCUUAUAC